rnacentral:rRNA from 1 species
CAGCAGCCGCUGUAAUACAGAGGGUGCGAGCGUUAAUCGGAUUUACUGGGCGUAAAGCGUGCGUAGGCGGCUUCUUAAGUCGGAUGUGAAAUCCCUGAGCUUAACUUAGGAAUUGCAUUCGAUACUGGGAAGCUAGAGUAUGGGAGAGGAUGGUAGAAUUCCAGGUGUAGCGGUGAAAUGCGUAGAGAUCUGGAGGAAUACCGAUGGCGAAGGCAGCCAUCUGGCCUAAUACUGACGCUGAGGUACGAAAGCAUGGGGAGCAAACAGGAUUAGAUACCCCCGUAGUCCCUGUCUCUUAUAC